UGUGUUGUGUGCAAGGUCAGAGACACCUGCCCAUGUUCAGCUGCCUUGAGAUCCUGGUUGUGAAAGUUUAUUCUCUGUCCUCGAGUUCUAUCCAAGGAUAGCUACACAGGUGUUGUGGUCCUUGUGCUCCUGCUAGUAUUAAUACCCUCCCUAGUUCCUAAGUGGGUCUGUUCCAGGGUUAGCCCUGUCCAGAGUUUUGUGCCAUCCCCUUCAGACUGGUGACCAUUGCCACCAGUUUCUUCACCUCACGUAGCCAGGAAUUUCGGGAGAUUUGCUCGACCAUGUGGUGUUUGUUCCAUACUCAACUGAUGCUGAGGACAGCCUUGCCGUCGACCCGUUCAACCGCGUCUUCCUCGAGCAAUUUCGCGCAAGCACUGAGAACACCUAGAAGAAGUGGUGUUUGAAGGAGGACCCUACUUCAGCUGAUCAAGUGGAGGAACCAUCUAAAUGGUAUUUGAUAGAGGGAUCUAGAACCUCUUCACUACAACAAAG